CCGCGCGAAGGUAGCGUAAUCACUUGUUUUUUAAAUAAAGACUAGUAUGAAUGGCCCCACGAGGACUUAACUGUCUCCCUUGUCCAAUCAGUGAAACUGAUCUCCUCGUGCAGAAGCGAGGAUUCUCUCAUAAGACGAGAAGACCCUAUGGAGCUUUAAACUAAAAUCAACUAUUAUUCCUCUAUCCUCUAAGGACCCAAUAAACAGCUAAAUAUGCUUGAUUUAAGUUUUAGGUUGGGGCGACCAUGGAGAAAAAGAAAUCCUCCCUGAUGACCACAAACCAAGAGCCACUGCUCUAAGUAUUAAGACACUUAACUCUAAUUGACCCAUUUUAUGAUCAACGAACCAAGUUACCCUAGGGAUAACAGCGCAAUCCAUUUCAAGAGUCCCUAUCGACAAAUGGGUUU
rnacentral:rRNA from 1 species